UACGAAGGGGGCUAGCGUUGCUCGGAAUCACUGGGCGUAAAGCGCACGUAGGCGGCUUGUUAAGUCAGGGGUGAAAUCCUGGAGCUCAACUCCAGAACUGCCUUUGAUACUGGCGAGCUUGAGUCCGGGAGAGGUGAGUGGAACUGCGAGUGUAGAGGUGAAAUUCGUAGAUAUUCGCAAGAACACCAGUGGCGAAGGCGGCUCACUGGACCGGUACUGACGCUGAUGCGCGAAAGCGUGGGGAGCAAACGGG
rnacentral:rRNA from 1 species